AAUAAUGCUCCAAUAUUUGUCGUUUAAUUUGAAAUAUGUGUCUUAACAAUCAUUCGAAGGCAAGAGAGUAGUUUAGUAAAUAUUGUUCUUGCAAUAUAUCCAUUGUAGACGUACAAUGUUGAAUAUUGCAAGGAAAUAUUUGAACAACGUUAUACUAAUUUUCCAAGUAAUAUUCUUAUAAAUAAGCUUAAACAAUAUUUUAUUAUUUUCUAAAAUACCGUUUCGAUAUUAAGCACCGUAGUUUGCUUUCGCAAUGCGAUAGAAGUGCGACGAAAAAUAGUUCAGCAAGUUUUGUCACGUCAUUGAAAAAGAGAAACUUUCCUUUAUAUUGUCGUAUAGACGCAAAAGUGUAAAAAAAAUUUUAAUUCGGUAGAACUGUUCGAAUUCGGAAAACAUUUAAUACAUAGCAAUGUUAUUCACGUUGCUUACAACUUUGCAUUCAAAUUGCAAUAGAACCGCGACGAAACAUUGAAAAUAAUCUUUCGUGUUAAUAUAUUGAGGGGGAAACUUUUCUCUAUAAUUACAAAAUAAUCUUGAAAAACAAUUUUCGAAGUCCGCAGAACCAUUUGAACUUGUAAAACGUUAGAAAAUGGAAAUAUUAUUCACCUUACUCGCAAUUUUGCGUUCAAAGUGCAAUAAAACUGCGGCGACACAUCGUAAAUUAAUUUUUAAAACGACAUUUUAUAGGUGAAACUUCCCUGAAUACCGUCGCAUUAAAUUAAAGGUCGUUAAGAAUUUUUAAACUCCGUAAAAUCAUUUCAACUUCUAAAGCGAAAAAUAGCAAUUUUAUUCAUUUUGUUUGCCACAUUGCAUUCAAAGUGCGAUACAACGGCAACAAAAAAUCGCAGUUCAACUUUCAAGACGUCAUUCUUGAUAGAAGCGUUUACUCGGCGAGGUGUUUAAUAUUUGGUUUCACCAGGGCCCGGCAUUUCCAACAGUUAAUGUGUCCAAAGACAGACGAUCAUUUUACAGUUUCGAAACGAUAAGCGGACAAUCUCCGAUAGCCUUUCACAAGAACGCCAGUUUACAGUUGGGAUCGAACGACGACAGUUGAGAAAAUCCGAUCUUAAUCGUCGAAACGUCCGUCUACUUCAAAAAGGUGCCAAGUGAUUGGAAAGAGAAUCUGUAAUGGCGGAAAAGCAGGAGAUAACUGAAAAAAUUGUAAAGAAGCCUCCACGCAUAACAAUGAGAAGCAUCAUCGGUGCGCCCUACAGAGAUGAUGUGAAAUAUGUAGACGGUGUCCCGCACAGAAAGGACAGGGCUGGAAACUGGCGGCCGGUGAUUAGUAUAGACGUAAAUGACACUUAAUUCUACAACUGAUACCUAGUCUUCAUUUUACUGUUCUACGGAGCGAUUCGGUCGUUAGUGAUUACGUUUGAUGAGGGAAAUAGUUUAUUCAUGUAUAAAUUGUGACCGAAUAAAUGCUUCAUAGAUUA